GAUGAACGCUGGCGGCGUGCCUAACACAUGCAAGUCGAACGGAAAGGCCCUGCGUUUGCGGGUUGCUCGAGUGGCGAACGGGUGUGUAACACGUGAGUAUCCUGCCCUUGAAUUUCGGAUAACUUCAGGAAAAUGCGGCUAAUACCGGAUAGGAGCUCCUGCUGCAUGGGGGGGGUUGGAAAGUUUCGGCGGUUGGGGAUGGACUCGCGGGUUAUCAGCUUGUUGGUGGGGUAGUGGCUUACGAGGGCUUUGACGGGUAGCCGGCAUGAGAGGGUGACCGGGGACAUGAGGACUGAGGUAGGGCGCAGUCUGGUACGGUAGGCAGCAGGGGGGAGUAUGGCACAAUGGGCGGGAGCGUGAGGCGACAACGCCGGGAGCGUGAUGACGGCCUUCUAGUUGUGAACAGCUUUCGACUGAGACGAAGAGUGCGUGACGGUAAUGGAUAAAGAAGCACCGGCUAACUACGUG
rnacentral:rRNA from 1 species